rnacentral:rRNA from 1 species
UACGUAGGGUGCAAGCGUUAAUCGGAAUUACUGGGCGUAAAGCGUGCGCAGGCGGUUUUGUAAGUCUGUCGUGAAAGCCCCCGGGCUCAACCUGGGGAAUUGCGAUGGAGACUGCAAGGCUUGAAUCUGGCAGAGGGGGGUAGAAUUCCACGUGUAGCAGUGAAAUGCGUAGAGAUGUGGAGGAACACCGAUGGCGAAGGCAGCCCCCCUGGGUCAAAACUGACGCUCAUGCACGAAAGCGUGGGGAGCAAACAGG